UGGGGAAUUUUGGACAAUGGGGGAAACCCUGAUCCAGCCAUCCCGCGUGUGCGAUGAAGGCCUUCGGGUUGUAAAGCACUUUUGGCAGGAAAGAAACGUCAUGGGUUAAUACCCCGUGAAACUGACGGUACCUGCAGAAUAAGCACCGGCUAACUACGUGCCAGCAGCCGCGGUAAUACGUAGGGUGCAAGCGUUAAUCGGAAUUACUGGGCGUAAAGCGUGCGCAGGCGGUUCGGAAAGAAAGAGGUGAAAUCCCAGAGCUCAACUUUGGAACUGCAUUUUUAACUACCGGGCUAGAGUGUGUCAGAGGGAGGUGGAAUUCCGCGUGUAGCAGUGAAAUGCGUAGAUAUGCUGAGGAACACCGAUGGCGAAGGCAGCCUCCUGGGAUAUCACUGACGCUCAUGCACGAAAGCGUGGGGAGCAAACAGG
rnacentral:rRNA from 1 species